rnacentral:tRNA from 1 species
GGGAAUGUGGCUUAGUGGUAGAGUGCUUGCCUUGCAUGCAUGAAACCCUGGGUUCCAUUCCUCAGCACCA